AAUGAGAUGUGGAAUGUUCAGGAGAUUUUCUCUUACGUGACUCCACAUCUUUCCAUUGUUGAUACAAUUAGAGAGUUUGUUGAUGCGGUUUAUUGUGAGGAUGACUGUGCUGCUGUUAAGUAUGGUGGAUAGAUUUGUCCCCGGACAUGUGCAUCGUAGCUAUGGUAUGCUUUUGCUUUACUAGUAUUAUAUAACAGGUUCAUUACAAUGGCACUACAAAUUUAUAUUGAAGUAUGGAAAGAGUCCUAAGCCAAAAAACAUAAAUAAUGUAUAAAAAUUGAAAAUAACACCAAAAAGGGAAGAAGCUACAACAGUUAAAGAAAUCACCAGCAUGUGUAGAUAGGUUUAUGUUGUGAUUCAUUUUGAUAUUCUUUUGUUUAUUAGGUAUAUUUUCACUAGAAAAUACAAUGAUAUAGGCCAAAAUCCAAUUGCUCCUAUAAGUCCACCAAUUGUUUUUAAAUGGACUUAUUAGAGUUAUUGGAUUUUAGCAUGUAUUAAUGUUUUUUAGUGAAAAUAUACACGGUUAACAAAAGAUUAUCAAAUUGGCUCUCAAAUUAAAUUUUUCCGCACAUGUUCAGCGUUGUUUGUCUGGUGAUUUAUUUAGCUCCUGCAAUUGCUUCUCUUAUUAUUGUUAUUUUUAAUUUUUCUUUAUUUUUAUUUUUUUUUUACUUUACGA